rnacentral:rRNA from 1 species
CCUACGGGAGGCAGCAGUGAGGAAUAUUGGUCAAUGGGCGCUAGCCUGAACCAGCCAAGUAGCGUGAAGGAUGACUGCCCUAUGGGUUGUAAACUUCUUUUAUAUAGGAAUAAAGUGCAGUAUGUAUACUGCUUUGCAUGUACCUUAUGAAUAAGGAUCGGCUAACUCCGUGCCAGCAGCCGCGGUAAUACGGAGGAUCCGAGCGUUAUCCGGAUUUAUUGGGUUUAAAGGGAGCGUAGGCGGGUUGUUAAGUCAGUUGUGAAAGUUUGCGGCUCAACCGUAAAAUUGCAGUUGAUACUGGCAGCCUUGAGUACAGUAGAGGCAGGCGGAAUUCGUGGUGUAGCGGUGAAAUGCUUAGAUAUCACGAAGAACUCCGAUUGCGAAGGCAGCCUGCUGGACUGUAACUGACGCUGAUGCUCGAAAGUGUGGGUAUCAAACAGGAUUAGAUACCCCAGUAGUC